UUCACUGCUUCUUCAAAAGAGAUUACAUCCUCAUUAAUAUAUAAACAAAUGAGAUUAAGCAGACUUAUCACCUCAUAGAGAUCUUGCAUGCUUCUUGUCUUUCUAGAUUCUUUACUUGAAGAUGGAGAUCUCGUGCUAGGUGAUGAAGGAGGUGUGGGAUCUUAACUUGACCCUUCACUUGUUCUUCUUCUUCUUACACCUCUAUCAUGUUGGUGCUCCAAUUCCAGAUUCCAUCUUCAUUGAACUUCAUAUCACGGCUU
rnacentral:lncRNA from 1 species